rnacentral:rRNA from 1 species
UACAGAGGUCUCAAGCGUUGUUCGGAUUCAUUGGGCGUAAAGGGUGCGUAGGCGGCGGUGCAAGUCCGAUGUGAAAUACCGGGGCUCAACCCCGGAACUGCAUUGGAUACUGCAUUGCUAGAGUACUGGAGAGGGAACUGGAAUUUACGGUGUAGCAGUGAAAUGCGUAGAGAUCGUAAGGAAGACCAGUGGCGAAGGCGAGUUCCUGGACAGUUACUGACGCUGAGGCGCGAAAGCUAGGGGAGCAAACGGG